rnacentral:rRNA from 1 species
GACGAACGCUGGCGGCGUGCUUAACACAUGCAAGUCGAACGGAAAGGCCUGCUUUCCCUUGUGGAUUGCGGGUACUCGAGUGGCGAACGGGUGAGUAACACGUGAGUGAUCUGCCCCCAACUUGGGAAUAAGCCUGGGAAACUGGGUCUAAUUCCCGAUAGGACUGCAGGGUGGUGCCUGUGGUGGAAAACGAUUUUCUAGUGGUUGGGGAUGAGCUCGCGGCCUAUCAGCUUGUUGGUGGGGUAAUGGCCUACCAAGGCGGCGACGGGUAGCCGGCCUGAGAGGGUGGACGGCCACAUUGGGACUGAGAUACGGCCCAGACUCCUACGGGAGGCAGCAGUGGGGAAUAUUGCACAAUGGGCGGAAGCCUGAUGCAGCGACGCCGCGUGGGGGAUGACGGCCUUCGGGUUGUAAACUCCUUUCGACCGCGAGGAAGCCACCUGGUUGGAAGGGUGGUGACGGUAGUGGUAGAAGAAGCACCGGCUAACUACGUG